rnacentral:rRNA from 1 species
UAGGGAAUCUUCGGCAAUGGGGGGAACCCUGACCGAGCAACGCCGCGUGAGUGAAGAAGGUUUUCGGAUCGUAAAGCUCUGUUGUUAAGGAAGAACGAGUGUGAGAAUGGAAAGUUCAUACUGUGACGGUACUUAACCAGAAAGGGACGGCUAACUACGUGCCAGCAGCCGCGGUAAUACGUAGGUCCCGAGCGUUGUCCGGAUUUAUUGGGCGUAAAGCGAGCGCAGGCGGUUAGAUAAGUCUGAAGUUAAAGGCAGUGGCUCAACGAUUGUAGGCUUUGGAAACUGUUUAACUUGAGUGCAGGAGGGGAGAGUGGAAUUCCAUGUGUAGCGGUGAAAUGCGUAGAUAUAUGGAGGAACACCGGUGGCGAAAGCGGCUCUCUGGUCUGUAACUGACGCUGAGGCUCGAAAGCGUGGGGAGCGAACAGG